AGAGUUUGAUCAUGGCUCAGAACGAACGUUGGCGGCGUGGAUUAGGCAUGCAAGUCGAACGAAUCCCCCAGGGCUUGCUCUGGGGGGAAGUGGCGAAAGGGGCAGUAAGCCGUGGGUAACUACCCCGGGGACCGGGAUAGCCAUCCUAACGGGUGGGUAAUACCGGGCGAUGUUGUUCCGGCGCCUGUCGGAGCAACCAAACGAAUUUCGCCCUGGGAGGGGCUCACGUGGUAUUAGCUGGUUGGUGGGGUAACGGCCUACCAAGGCUCAGAUGCCUAGCAGGUGUGAGAGCACGACCUGCGCCACUGGCACUGCGACACUGGCCAGACUCCUACGGGAGGCUGCAGUCGAGGAUCUUCGGCAAUGGGCGCAAGCCUGACCGAGCGACGCCGCGUGCGCGAUGAAGGCCUUCGGGUUGUAAAGCGCUGUCGAGGGGGAGGAAAGCCCGCAAGGGUUUGACCUAGCCCUGGAGGAAGCACGGGCUAAGUUCGUGCCAGCAGCCGCGGUAAGACGAACCGUGCGAACGUUGUUCGGAUUCACUGGGCUUAAAGGGCGCGUAGGCGGUUGUCCACGUCCGGGGUGAAAGCUUUCGGCUUAACCGGAAGAGGGCCUUGGAUACGGGGCAACUCGAGGGAGGUAGGGGCAGGUGGAACUUCCGGUGGAGCGGUGAAAUGCGUUGAUAUCGGAAGGAACGCCGGUGGCGAAAGCGACCUGCUGGACCUCUACUGACGCUGAGGCGCGAAAGCCAGGGGAGCAAACGGGAUUAGAUACCCCGGUAGUCCUGGCCCUAAACGAUGGGUACUAGGUGGUGGACUUAACAUGGGUUCCCUGCCGAAGCUAAAGUGGUAAGUACCCCGCCUGGGGAGUAUGGUCGCAAGGCUGAAACUCAAAUGAAUUGACGGGG
rnacentral:rRNA from 1 species